rnacentral:rRNA from 1 species
UACGUAGGUGGCAAGCGUUGUCCGGAAUUAUUGGGCGUAAAGCGCGCGCAGGCGGUUAUGUAAGUCUGAUGUUAAAGCCCGGGGCUCAACCUCGGUUCGCAUUGGAAACUGUGUAACUUGAGUGCAGAAGAGGAAAGUGGUAUUCCACGUGUAGCGGUGAAAUGCGUAGAUAUGUGGAGGAACACCAGUGGCGAAGGCGACUUUCUGGUCUGUAACUGACGCUGAGGCGCGAAAGCGUGGGGAGCAAACAGG